AUAGAUGGAUCCGCGCUGCAUUAGCUAGUUGGUAAGGUAACGGCUUACCAAGGCAACGAUGCAUAGCCGACCUGAGAGGGUGAUCGGCCACACUGGAACUGAGACACGGUCCAGACUCCUACGGGAGGCAGCAGUAGGGAAUCUUCCGCAAUGGGCGAAAGCCUGACGGAGCAACGCCGCGUGAGUGAUGAAGGUCUUCGGAUCGUAAAACUCUGUUAUUAGGGAAGAACAUAUGUGUAAGUAACUGUGCACAUCUUGACGGUACCUAAUCAGAAAGCCACGGCUAACUACGUGCCAGCAGCCGCGGUAAUACGUAGGUGGCAAGCGUUAUCCGGAAUUAUUGGGCGUAAAGCGCGCGUAGGCGGUUUUUUAAGUCUGAUGUGAAAGCCCACGGCUCAAC
rnacentral:rRNA from 1 species